CAGGCGGAACACUGGCCGGUGGAGUACCCCUUUAAUCAUUCCAGUGUGAACCAGUGGAUGUGAUAAUGGAAAUGCAGUAUUGCUAAUAGAAGAAACGUUAUUGUGGAAGUGCCAUCAAAACUCCAAGGAUAAGUAGUGAAUAAGUGUGGACAGAACAUUACCCUGCUGAAAGAGGCCAUUGCCAUAAGGAAAUAAUGGUGACAUGAAGGGAUGAAGUUGGUCAACACCAGUGUUUAUCGUUUGGAGAUGGAAACCGGAAGAUGCAGGAGUGACGCGAAACGGUGCUGUCGUUCCUGUGAUACGUCCCUGCUCCAGGCUUGGUGCCUCCUUUCCCUCCCUGCACCGGGUGAAGUUCGGCUUUUGUUUGGAUAUGCCACAAUAAAGUAUUUUCUAACUUUGCAACAAACGCUAUGAGUGCAGACACUCUUUCUACCUUCUGGUUAUUACUGUGGAAUUGCUAUAUGCCACUAGUGUCUGGCACCCCACCUACUGCAUUCACCUGGGACAGUAUAUAGUGCUUCACAAGGCCGGUGAUUUGGAGUCUAGCAGUGACCAUCCCCCCACCCCCUUUGUGUUUUGGCUUAUAACAAAUGUUACUUCACAAAAAUGAUAAUUCUAAAUUAAAUGCAUGAUAUAGAAAUUUUUACAUUGAAGUAUCAGCCAUAUUUAUGUCAAAAAUAUGGAAGUGUUCAUAAUAAAAUAAAAUCCGAAACUACUCUAGUGUACUCAUACAGGGAUGUAAACAGUUCCCAGACACACCUAAA